rnacentral:rRNA from 1 species
AUUGAACGCUGGCGGCAGGCCUAACACAUGCAAGUCGAACGGUAACAGGAAGCAGCUUGCUGCUUCGCUGACGAGUGGCGGACGGGUGAGUAAUGUCUGGGAAACUGCCUGAUGGAGGGGGAUAACUACUGGAAACGGUAGCUAAUACCGCAUAACGUCGCAAGACCAAAGAGGGGGACCUUCGGGCCUCUUGCCAUCGGAUGUGCCCAGAUGGGAUUAGCUAGUAGGUGGGGUAACGGCUCACCUAGGCGACGAUCCCUAGCUGGUCUGAGAGGAUGACCAGCCACACUGGAACUGAGACACGGUCCAGACUCCUACGGGAGGCAGCAGUGGGGAAUAUUGCACAAUGGGCGCAAGCCUGAUGCAGCCAUGCCGCGUGUAUGAAGAAGGCCUUCGGGUUGUAAAGUACUUUCAGCGGGGAGGAAGGGAGUAAAGUUAAUACCUUUGCUCAUUGACGUUACCCGAAGAAGAAGCACCGGCUAACUCCGUG